rnacentral:rRNA from 1 species
UACAGAGGGUGCAAGCGUUGUUCGGAAUCAUUGGACGUAAAGGGCUCGUAGGCGGCCAACUAAGUCGGACGUGAAAUCCCUCGGCUCAACCGGGGAACUGCGUCCGAUACUGGAUGGCUUGAAUCCGGGAGAGGGAUGCGGAAUUCUUGGUGUAGCGGUGAAAUGCGUGGAUAUCAAGAGGAACACCUGAGGUGAAGACGGGUUGCUGGGCCAACACUGACGCUGAUGCGCGAAAGCCAGGGGAGCAAACGGG